UUUUUUUUUUUUAAGUAGAGACAGAGUCUUGCUAUGUGGCCCGGGCUGGUCUCGAACUCCAGAGCUCAAGUGAUCCACCCACCUUGGCCUCCCAAAGUGCUGGGAUUACAGGCAUGAGCCACCACACCUGGCCUGAUUGUUUCUAAAUGGCAGCAAGAACAGGAUUUGACAGCAAGGGCAAAUCACAUAAUAUGUGGCAUAUUCAGAAUUGGUUGUGAGUUUCCAGUAGAAAGCACUGAGAAUAUCCAUAGGGCAAAAUGGAAUACUAAUAAUCCUCAUCUGCCUUUGCCUUUGUACUGGACAGCAGACCUUACUUAAGCCCAUCAAAGGCAAGGUCUGGGCCUGCCACAGCAGAUUUCAAAAAGACAAAGCAAUGCAAGCCAUGUGUUCAAAAUGCCCUAAGUGGCUAUUCAGGUAAUAUACAAAAGUAAGACCAGGCUAAUUAGUGUACUGUGUGGUAAACUAGAGAGCAGAAGGCCCUUCUUUAAAAUGAGCCUACCACUGCUUGUCCUCAGUGUGAAUUUAGACCCCAUCUUCUGAUAUUUCAGGAGACAGUAAAAAUCCAGAUUUUUAUCUAAAAUCUUUUUAAUUUUUAAACAGUCACCUGAUUUUAACAAAAUACUAUGUGUGCAAAAAGGAACCAUCUACAGGAAUGAUCUAGUCCAGAGGAUACCAGGUUGCUCACAACGUCUUAUGAAGUUGUUUAACCCAUAGUGAGAAAUAUUAUACAAUUACACCAGACCAAAGACAUACAUACAUACAAAUAUGUAGCUGGGACAAAAAUUUCACAGAACAAUGCAGUCAUUCCUCAGUAUCCAUGGAAGAGUGGUUCCAGGAAUCCCUACAGAUUCUAAAAUCCAUGGAUAUACACAUUCCUUAUAUAAAAUGGUAUAUUUACAUAUAACCUACAUAUAUCUUCCUGUCUCUUUAAAUCAUCUCUAGAUUACUUAUAACAAAUACAAUGUAAACACCAUAUAAAUAUAUUGUAUUUUUUAAAAUUUGCAUUAUUUUGUAUUGUUGUAUUUUUUUCCAAAUAUUUUUUAUCUGUGGUGGUGGAACCCACAGAUACGGAACCUGUGGAUACAGAGCACCUCCUGGUGAUGCUUGAUGAUGCCCUUUGCCAGAUGAAGGCUGAUAUUUUCUUAUUUUCUUAUCUGUCUUCUAGCUAAAUCUAUUCUUUCCUAAUCUACUUCAUUUUAAUAUCCACAAUUGCAUUCAAAACUGUGGCCUAGUUUUAAACACUGCCCAAGAGAAACUGCCAAGCCAUUGGCUGAGUUAAAGAGGUAAUGGUACAUACCCAUGUUUUGUACCACAUGAGAAAAAGGAAACAUUUCAAAUAAGCCAAAACUAUAAAGAAACAGAAGCUAUGAGGUUAUACAAGCAUUUAUAAACAUAUUCUGUUGGCCUGAAAUAUUUUAAAACAAUUGAAGCUUCCCCCCAACCCCAUUGGUUCCAGGAUCCCCCACAGAUAUUCAAGACCCUUACAGAAAAUGUUCUAGUAAUUGCAUACAACCUAUACACAUCCUAUCAUAUACUUUAAAUCACCUCUAAAUUAAAAAAAAAAAACAAAAACAAAAAACAAACCUGAAGCCAAUCAGGCUUUUUGUAGACAGCUGGUCAUCUUAGGCAGACAUUUCCACUGGGCAACAAUCAGCAGAAGUCAAGUACUAAAGUCUUCUCCUUUGGAGGAAAUAUGUAUGUCCCAAUUACACACAAUGUCAAACAUUCCCUACUAACCUCCUAGAAGCGUCAGUUGCCCUUUACCAUUCCAUUUGCACCCUUGUUUAUAUUUUAAAGAAACUGCCCUCCUAAUGUCUCUAUUAAAAAUGAUUGAACAAAAGAUCACCCCCCUCACACACAAAAGACAGUGUUUCAAGAAAAGAAGAAAACACCAGAACCAUCUUAUACAUUUAUGGCAUCUGGAUCCUACAGGCAUUUGCAAUUGCAGUCCUUGAAACAAAGAGAAGUCCAACAGUCAGUUGUUAAUGGAUACAUUAUAAGCUGUAAGAAACAAGCAAAGUAAAAGCAGCAAAAUAGGGUAAUCAUCAUAUUAAUGGCAGAAAACAAAAGUGAAGAUCCACAAACUGCUGCUGUGGGUAUAUAAGUAUCUAUCUAAACUGGGAUACAAUAGGCCUAGUAAAUUUGUCUUCUCAGGAAUUGGAAUUGAGCUAUUAAAAGUAAUCACAGUUCACAAAGGAAACUGAAGCUGAAAGGAUACAACAAGCAACACAAUGCAGAGGUGAGGUCAAGAGGAUCAUAAGCAGGCAAAACUUAUGAGGAAGAUGAAGCCAUAAGUAAGCAGAACCUAUAAAUAGGCUAAAAAUAUGAAAUGGAGGGCCGGGCACGAUGGCUCAUGCCUGUCAUCUCAGCACUUUGGGAGGCCUAGGUGGGAGGAUCACCUGAUGUCAGGAGUUCGAGACCAGGCUGGCCAAUUUGGUGAAACCUCAUCUCUACUAAAAAUACAAAAACUAGCCAGGCAUGGUGGCUGGUGCCUGUAAUCCCAGCUACUCAGGAGGUUGAGGCAGGAAAACCACUUGAACCCUGGAGGCAGAGGUUGCAGUGAGCUGAGAUCUCACCACUGCACUCCAGCCUGGUGACAGAGAAAGACUCCAUCUCAAAAAAAAAAAAAAAAAAAGAGAGAGAGAGAGAGAGAUGGAGAAAAAACAAAGUGGAUGGGCGAGCCAAUAUUUAAAAAAGCAGAAAUUAUAAGACACAACAGAUAAGCAGAGAGACUGGGCUCACACCUGUAAUCCCAGCACUUUGGGAGGCUGAGGCAGGCGGAUCACCUGAGGUCAGGAGUUCAAGGCAGGGAGAAACCCCAUCUCUACUAAAAAUACAACAUUAGCCAGGCGUGAUGGCAGGUGCCUGUAAUCCCAGCUGCUUGAGAGGCUGAGGCAGGAGAAUCACUUGAACCCAGGAGGAGCUUCUCUGAAUCCAGUUCACAUACCUAACAGGCAUAAUCAUAUUAAGGUCCCCCUAAACAGGUGUCCCUUGGUAUCCACAGAGGAAUUGGUUCCAGAAUCCCCCACAGAUAUUCAAAUAUUUUAUAUAAAAUAUUCUAGUAAAUGCAUACAACCUAUACACAUCCUCUCAUAUAUGUUAAAUCAUCUCUAGAUUACUUAUAAUACCUAAUACAAUAUAAAUGCUAUGUAAAUAGUGGUUAUACUCUAUUGUUUAGGGAAUAACGACCAAAAAUAAAGUCUGUACAUGUUCAGUACAGACACAACCAUCUAUAUUUUUUAGCCAAAUAUUUUUGAUCCACAGGUGGCUGAAUCCACAGAUGUGGAACCCACAGAUACAAAAGAUCACCUGUAUGUGAAACUGCAUGUGAUCCAAGUCACCAUUAUUUCCCCACAGGUGGCCUGCAAAUAACCUGUCAUUAAGUGAGCUCAACAGAGAAUUUGUUUCUAGCAAUCACAAGUGCCUAACCCAUAGUAAGAAGCAGAACAGCCCCCUAGGAAGAAUGUAGUUUAGGAAACUAGCUACAAACCUGAAGAGAAUCCUCUUUGUUUUGAAGAUGUUGUACAAACCAGCUUGUGAUAUCAUGGAACUUUUAGAACUUUUACCCAGGAGAAGGUGAGUCUUUAAGAGACUUGGUAGAUAACUGCGAUCAAGCAGCUUUAAAGAGCUAAACCAGAUAGAAUGAAUGUGUCAUAGUGUUAUCCAUGCCCAAAAUCUUUCUAAAGAAAAACCUUCUUAGCCAGGCAAACAAGACUGCUAAGAAAGCAUUCUUGUGACCAACUAUCCCUCCUCCAAAUCCAAAGUUGAUCAGACCAAGGGUAAGUAAGGCUCAGACUCAAGGGCAUAUGUCUACAAGCUGGUCAACAGCCUAUGACUUGUGACAUGAAAGCCCUCCCCAAACAAGGAUGAGGUGAGAAAAUUAGAUUAAAUUUGUAAUUGGAAAAAACAGAAGAACAGAAACUCAGCAGCUGAAGUGAAUGGAUACAUGGUAAAAGAACAUACCACAGCUACGUAAGAAGCAUGAAAGAUUUAAAUAAGAUCAACUUGUGAGGAAUAGGCACAGGAGUCAGAAGCCAUAAAGAAGCAAAAACUGGCCAGGCAUGGUGGCUCACGCCUGUAAUCCCAGUACCUUGGGAGGUCAAGGCAGGAAGAUCACUUGACACCAGGAGUUCAAUAAUAACCUGGGCAACAUAGUGAGACCCUGUCUCUAUUAGUUAAAAAAAAAAAAGAAAGAAGCAGAAACUAUCCAUUAGCAAUAGGAUAAAGAAUAGAAAUGAGGAAGUGAGUAUGUAGCAGGAAAGGAGUUCAUAGCAAUAAUGUAAACUAUUACAUUCCUAGUAAUUUACCAAAUUAAUUAAAUAAAGACAUUCCUAAUAAACUGAGCUAAGUUGUCAAGUCAGAAUACUAUAUUAUGGGCCAGGCAUGGUGGCUCAUGCCUAUAGUCCCAGCACUUUGGGAGGCUGAGGCAGGCAGAUUGCUUUGAGCUCAGGAGUUUGAGACCAGCCUAGGCAACACAGUGAAACCCCAUCUCUACAAAAAAUACAAAAAUGAGCUGGGCAUGGUGGUGCAUGCCUGUAUUCCUAGCUACUUGGGAGGAUGAGGUGAGAGAAUCGCUUGAGCCGGGAGUCGGAGGUUGCAGUGAGCCAAGAUUGCACCAUGGCACUCCAGCCUGGGUGACAAAGCAAGACCCUGUUUCCAAAAAAAAAAAAGAGAGAGAGAGAGAGGAUACUAUAUUAUGAUCUGGUGUAAGGGAAAAGGGAAAGAAUACUGAAUGAUGAGAAUCAAUAAUGCCUAUAACCAGUAACAAACAAAAAGUAUUUGUGACCUCACAAAGGGUUGCUUAGAAAAUUAAAAUCUCCAAACUAUAGAUCAGAAUGUAGAUCUGAUACAACUUAACAGGCAUAUAAAAUAGCAUUAGGAUAUAAGGAGAGUAAGAUUUCAGAGUUAACUGUGAGACUGUCAAGUUCCAAAGAUGGUCAGGUACCUCUGGAUGCUACAUGACUGAGUUGCAUUCUAGUUUUAGAGCUUGAUUCUGGAUACACUUAUAGUAGCUGGACUGUGUUAGGCUAAAGCAAUUUUGUAUUAUAAGUAGGGAAAGAGAUACAUUUGCACAUAGUAAUCAAUAGGGGGAAAUGUCCUAGACCUGCCAAAUAGCAACUACUAUCCCUGCGGUCUCAGGAAACUUAACAACCCACAGGGAAUCAGAUUCUCAAUUUAAUGACAACUUGGCAACAUGGAGAGUAGCAAGAGCUAAAGCCGACAGUCUGUAAAGAGAAAGAUAGUGUAGAAGGAAGGUCACACCUAUAGUAGUUGCAAAAGCUCAAGUUAUGAAUGAGAAACAAAAUCUAAGUAUUCAGUAACCAGGAGGUUAGAGAAAGACAGAAAAUGAGGAAAUCAAUCUGUAGUAGGACCAAGAUGAUGUGCACAAGGAGAGAAGAGCUUAAUCACAUUAAUGAUACCACACUAGUCGAAUUCCGUAAACUUCUUUAAAAUUAUCCAAAUGACCCCAUUUCUUGCAAUGAAAUCUGGAUUGCAAAGAAGAGACCCUCAAAAGGAAUGCAGCUAUUUGGAAUCAGUUAUACUGAAGCAACAGGGUAGAGAGCCAAGCAAAGUACACAAUAGUGGUGACAUGCAAAGCGUCUAAUUUAGCUACCGCCAGUGCUCUCAGAAACUUAAAACUGUGAAAUAUGGAAACAGGUAAUCAGUAGCAAAGACCAGAGGUGAAAAAGGAUUCUAAGGGAAAAUCAGAGGCAUAAAUAUGAGGAAGUCCACUAUGACUAAGCAGAAACUAGGUGAGCAGAAGUUGUAAGAGUACAGUAUCAUAAAGCAGGUAUUGGCAAACUACAGCCAACAAACCAAAUCCAGCCCACUACCUUUUUCUGUAACUAGUUUUGUUGGAACACAGCCAUACUCAUUCAUUUAUGUAUUGUCUAUGACUGCUUUCAUGCUACAAGAGCAGAAACCAUAUGGCCCAGAAAACCUAAAAUAUUUACCACUGGGCCUUUUACAGAAAAAGUUUGCUAACUCCCCUCAUAGAAGAUAGCAUAAGCCAAUGGCAGGAAAACUGAAACAGGCUGAGAGAAUAUUUAAGUCAUGUUAAAAGCAGAGCACUGGAGAAAAGAUUUUGAAAGUCCUACUGUUGAGAGCUCCACAAGUACCCUUACUAUAACCCCGCAAACCCUGAAUGUGCUGAACAUUUAGAAAAAUUAGUUACAUACCACACACCAAAGAGGUUCCCAAUGGGAAAGAUUUGUAUUAAAAAAAACAAUAAAAAGUAUAAAGGAAUUAUGAACUAUAAAAAAUAUAUUUAUCUUCCUAUUAUAAAAUGCAAGUGGAGAAUAAACCAUAAAGAAAAAGAUAUUUGAGCUACAUACAAAUUAAUAAUUUAUAGGCCAAACUGGGGGAAAUAUCUGCAACAUACGAUAGACUAAAACUAAGUGUGAAAAAUAAACUCAAAAAUAAAGACCCAAGAUUUUUACCUCUUCUAUCUUGUUAGGAAUCAAAGAAAUACAAAUUAAAAUAUCAAAGGCCAUUUUUCACCUUUACAACUGGCAAAUUCUUCUGAAACCUUAAUAUAGUGUACUGGUGAAAAGUAAAAAAAAAAGGCAUUCUUAUACACCACUAGAAGGACUAUAUAUUUUAUCCAACCUCAGAAAAUAAACACACAUAUGUACAACAAUUUAUCUAUAGAGAUAUUCACUGUACCACUAUUUAUACACAAUUAAAAGAGCAGUAAUUAAAACAAGAUUCCAAAUAUCGGAUACAAGUUAAAUUUUUACAUUCAUGCAGUGGUGUAUUAUGUGCCAAUUUUUAAAAGAUGUUAUUCAAGUAUAUUUAAUGGCAUGGGAUAUAUUUGAGAUUGGUUCAGUUUAAAACAAUAGGCAACAAAAGAUUUCAUUAAUGAUCCUAACAUCAACAAUUGAAAAAGACUGCAAUCCCCCGCAAAACAACUCACUUUUGAACAUAGAAAAAGACCGGGCAGGGCAUGGUAGCUCACCCUGUAAUCCCAACACUUUGGAAGGUUAAGGUGAGCAAACAGCUUGAGCCCAGGAGUUUAAGACCAGCCUAGGCAACAUGGAGAAACCCCGUCUCUACGAAAAACACAAAAAUUAUCUGGGAGUGGUGGUGCACACCUAUGGUCCCAGCUACUCAGGAGGCUGAGAGGUAGGAGGAUCCCUUGAGCCAGGGAGGUCAAGGCUGCAGUAAGCCAUGAUAGCACUACCACACUCCAGCCUGGACAACAGAGUGAGGCUCUGUCUCAAAAAAACAAAAAAAAAAACAAAGGGAAAAAAAUAAUAAAUAGAAAAUAAAAUUUGAAAUAUCAAAUUUAGCAAACAUAAUUCAAAAUUCUUGAAAAGUAUGAAUCUGGCUGCUGGGCAUGGUGGCUCAUGCCUGUAAUCCCAACACUUUGGGAGGCUGAGGUGGGCAGAUCACGACAUCAGGAGUUCGAGACCAGCCUGGCCAGCAUGGUGAAACCCCAUCUCUACUAAAAAAAAAUAUCAAAAAUUGGCUGGGCAUGGUGGUGUACACCUGUAAUCCCAGCCACUCAGGAGGCUGAGGCAGGAGAAUUGCUUGAACCCAGGAGGCAGAGGCUGCAGUGGGCUGAGAUCGCACCACUACACUCCAGCCUGGGCGACAGAGCUAGACUCCGUCUCAAAAAAUAAAAAUAAAAAAAGAAAAGUAUGAAUCUUCUUCCAGAAAUGUAAAGUUGGUUUAUUAUUAGGAAAGCUAUUAAACAUAACAAAUACAACAAACAGUCAAAGAAGAAUAUUUACUUUCAUAUUCAACAAUUGCUUACCUGAGAUACCUGUUCCUUUGUCCAAAUCACCUUUUGAGAUAUCAGUGGAAGAAUUAAUACUUCAUAAUCCUGAAAGCCAAAUUUAGGGUUUGAAAUAGCACAGCCCACUAUCUUGCCUGUUAAGAUAAUGAUUAUAUCCAAAGUAACCUCCGUAUUAGAUUCACUUAUGAGGUAAGUAGGGUAGAAAACACGUUGGUGAAAAAGGUAAGCACACCAGAGCUGGUAAUGUAAAGUUAAGAACAAAUAACACAGUAUAAAGACAACAUCACUUCUAAGCCAUACAAAGAAAGACCCAUGAUGAGGAAGAGAUUCCCCUAAGGAAUGGUAAUAACAUGGCCCAUGAAGAAUAUUCAUGGAAUUUGUAUGAAUAUUCUGCAAAUCAUGCACGUAAGACACAGAUCACAAGAGACUUUUCAGUGCUGAUUCAAAUACAGCUGUAUUAUUUUUAUUAUAUACACUGUAAAUCAAAUAACUCUGAAUGGUUGUUUUAUUGUAUACAUCUUUCUGUUUGAAAGUCUUUGUGUAUGUAUACUGUAGAGCAGGGUCAGCAUGCUAUGGCCCCUGGGCCAAAUCCAACCUACUACCUGUUUUUGUAAAUCAAGUUUUACCAGAACACAAUCAUGCUCAUUUGUAUCCAUAUUGUCUAUGGACGUUUUCAUGCUACAGCAGCAGAGUUGAAUAGAGAGACUACCUAGCCCUUUACAAAAGAAGUUUGCCAACCCGUGCCAUAGAGUGUCCCUUAAUGGAACAGCUGGCAAAACCUACACCUAGCAGAACGAAUGAAAUGUUCAUUCAUAGUAAUUUACUAAAUUAAUUAAAGACUAUUCGUAAUAAACUGAGCUAAGUUGCCAAGUCGGAAUACUGUAUUAUGAUGUGGUGUAAAGGAAAGAACACUGAGUGAUCAGAACCAAUGAUGAAGCAGUAACAACAAAAAGUAUGUAUGACCUCCCGCCUCAGCCUCCCAAGUACCUGGGACUACAUGGGACCACAGCCAUCCACCACAUCCGACCUCCAUCUCUACUCUUUUGAGUCUAUGUGACUUUAUUCAUUGUAUGAGUCAGGCAGCUACUCUGAAUGGAAGGAAAAGAAUUAUUAUUUCGCAGGAAAGAACAAAUAUGGUUACCCUUAUAUACAAAGGGUCAGAGCAUAGAGGUAUUGAGAGCAGAUGAAAAAACAAAGACAUUUCAGAGCACAAAAGAUAAUAGAAUAAUGACAGGCCAUUGCUGUACAUACUUACUUAGCUGUGAGCGCCAGAGUAGAGUGAAUCAAAGGAAAGUAAAGAAGGGGUACCCAUUCAAUACUGCUUCUUGGGUCUAGCUAGUUUUAAUGGUGCUAAUGUACACAGUGAAAGCUAAUAAACUUGGUUCUGAAAUCAGAAAUUUCUCUAAAGAAAAUAAUCAAAGAAGUACACUAAAAUUAAUAUUUAAAAUGAAUAUUUAGAUAAUAAUAAAUUUUAAAACCUGUAGGCCGGGCACAGUGGCUCACGCCCGUAAUCCCGGGUGGCCGAGGUGGGCAAAUCACGAAGUCAGGAGUUCGAGAAUAGCCUGGCAAACAUGGUGAAACCCCAUCUCUACUAAAAAUACAAAAAAUUAGCUGAGUGUAAUGGCGGGCGCCUGUAGUCCCAGCUACUCAGGAGGCUGAAGCAGAAUUGCUUGAACCCAGGAGGCAGAGGUUGCAGUGAGCCAAGAUCGUGCCACUGCACUCUAGCUCAGGCAACUGAGUGAGACUCCAUCUCAAAAAAAAAAA
ensembl:lncRNA